rnacentral:rRNA from 1 species
ACGAAGGGUGCGAGCGUUAAUCGGAAUUACUGGGCGUAAAGCGCGCGUAGGUGGUUUGGUAAGCGAUAUGUGAAAUCCCCGGGCUUAACCUGGGAACUGCAUGUCGAACUGCCAGGCUAGAGUAUUGGAGAGGGUAGCGGAAUUCACGGUGUAGCAGUGAAAUGCGUAGAUAUCGUGAGGAACACCAGAGGCGAGGGCGGCUACCUGGACAAUUACUGACGCUCAGGCACGAAAGCGUGGGGAGCAAAAGGGA